rnacentral:pre_miRNA from 1 species
AAAAAGACAAACCUUGAGUUUCCGUGUCCAACUUUGACUGUCCGUCUUAUGUGAAUUUUUUUUAUAAUUCGUAUUUUCAUUGUUGUUAGACGAUAAAACAUGAUUAAUAUUUUAUGCGUGACUUGUCUUUUUAAUUUUUUUCAUAAUUUUUUCAAAUAAGACGGACGGUCAAACGUUGGACACGGAAACCAGGGUUUGUCUUUUU